AGAGUUUGAUCCUGGCUCAGAAUGAACGCUGGCGGCGUGCCUAACACAUGCAAGUCGGAUGUGCCGCAAGGUGCAUGGCAGACGGGUGAGUAGCGCGUAGGGAAUCUACCUUUUUGUGGGGAAUAACGCUCCGAAAGGAGUGGUAAUACCGCAUGAGACCGCAGACUGGGAUGUUUGUGGUGAAACCUGGGGACCGCAAGGCCUGGGGCAAGAAGAGGAUCCUGCGUCUGAUUAGCUAGUUGGCGGGGUAAUGGCCCACCAAGGCGACGAUCAGUAGCCGGCCUGAGAGGGUGAUCGGCCACACUGGAACUGAGACACGGUCCAGACUCCUACGGGAGGCAGCAGUGGGGAAUUUUGCGCAAUGGACGAGAGUCUGACGCAGCAACGCCGCGUGGGUGAUGAAGGUCUUC
rnacentral:rRNA from 1 species